rnacentral:rRNA from 1 species
CCCUAUUAUAACUAAGUUAUAUUUAUGACCUAAGGUAGUAAAUGUUAUAAUCAUUAAACUUAAAGAAUUUGGCGGUGUUUAUUCUUACCAGAGGAAUAUGUUUUUUAAUUGAUUUUCCCCAACUAUCUUACUUAAAUUUUUCUUGUAUACCUCCGUCUUAAAAAAUUUUUUUAAAAUAUGUUUUGAUUUCUUUGAAGAAAUAAGUCAGGUCAAGGCGCAGUUUAUAUUUAAGUUAAAAUGUAUUACAAUAAAUUUAUUUUUGGACUUAAAAUUUAAAAUUUAAUUUAAUUAAACUGGAUUUGGUAGUAAAUUUAUUUUUAAUAUAUUUAAUUGAAUGAUGAAAGUAAGCAUGUACACAU